CCUACGGGUGGCUGCAGUGAGGAAUCUUCCACAAUGGACGAAAGUCUGAUGGAGCAACGCCGCGUGAGUGAAGAAGGGUUUCGGCUCGUAAAGCUCUGUUGGUAGUGAAGAAAGAUAGAGGUAGUAACUGGCCUUUAUUUGACGGUAAUUACUUAGAAAGUCACGGCUAACUACGUGCCAGCAGCCGCGGUAAUACGUAGGUGGCAAGCGUUGUCCGGAGUUAUUGGGCGUAAAGCGAGUGCAGGCGGUGAAAUAAGUCUGAUGUGAAAGCCUUCGGCUCAAACGGUGAAUUGCAUCAGAAACUGUUGGACUUGAGUGAAGUAGAGGAGGGUGGAACUCCAAGUGUAGCGGUGGAAUGCGUAGAUAUAAGGAAGAACACCAGUGGCGAAGGCGGCUCUCUGGUCUGCAACUGACGCUGAGGCUCGAAAGCAUGGGUAGCGAACAGGAUUAGAUACCCCUGUAGUC
rnacentral:rRNA from 1 species